CUCCUCCCUUUCAUUCAGUUGGUCAGCCGGUCGACGCCAUCCCUCAAUGCUGCAGCAAUCACCGCGCUUGUUGAUCAUUGGAGGCCAGAGAUACACACUUUCCAUCUUCGGACCAGGGAGAUGACCGUGAUGCUCUAGGAUAUUGCUAUGAUCACCUAGCUUCCUACCGAGGGUAAUUCUCUAUGUAUGAGCACCGAUUCUAACGGGUGGCGCGAGCAGAUGCAUGCCCUUAUUGGUAUGGUUCCACUAGUGCAGAACAGGGCUAUAGCUCCGGCUGGUAAGGGCCUUUAG
rnacentral:rRNA from 1 species